rnacentral:rRNA from 1 species
CGCCUCUUGAUUAAAAAUAAGAGGUCCAGCCUGCCCAGUGACAAAUGUUCAACGGCCGCGGUAUCCUAACCGUGCGAAGGUAGCGUAAUCACUUGUUCUUUAAAUGAGGACUAGUAUGAAUGGCACCACGAGGGUUGUACUGUCUCCUCUCUCCAAUCAGUGAAACUAAUUUCCCCGUGAAGAAGCGGGGAUAAAUAUAUAAGACGAGAAGACCCUAUGGAGCUUUAAACUUCUCUUCAAGCACUAACCUAUUACUUUAGGUCACUGACCCCCACCACAAUUAUCACCGCGCCAUGGAGAUGAAUUUUAGGUUGGGGUGACCACGGAGUACAAAAAAACCUCCACGCUGAACAGGCCUACUAAGCCUUGAGCAAAGGACCACAACCCAAAGCACUAAAAAACUAACACCCAUUGAUCCAAUUUUAUUUGAUCAACGAACCAAGUUACCCUAGGGAUAACAGCGCAAUCUACUUCAAGAGUUCUUAUCGACAAGUGGGUUUACGACCUCGAUGUUGGAUCAGGGUAUCCCAGUGGUGCAGCCGCUACUAAUGGUUCGUUUGUUCAACGAUUAAAACCCU